UACGUAGGGUGCAAGCGUUGUCCGGAAUUAUUGGGCGUAAAGAGCUCGUAGGCGGCCUGUCGCGUCGGCUGUGAAAACCCGGGGCUCAACCCCGGGCCUGCAGUCGAUACGGGCAGGCUAGAGUCCGGCAGGGGAGACUGGAAUUCCUAGUGUAGCGGUGAAAUGCGCAGAUAUCAGGAGGAACACCGGUGGCGAAGGCGGGUCUCUGGGCCGGAACUGACGCUGAGGAGCGAAAGCGUGGGGAG
rnacentral:rRNA from 1 species